rnacentral:rRNA from 1 species
AUUGAACGCUGGCGGCAGGCUUAACACAUGCAAGUCGAGCGGGGUGAUGGUGCUUGCACUAUCACUUAGCGGCGGACGGGUGAGUAAUGCUUAGGAAUCUGCCUAUUAGUGGGGGACAACAUCUCGAAAGGGAUGCUAAUACCGCAUACGUCCUACGGGAGAAAGCAGGGGAUCACUCGUGACCUUGCGCUAAUAGAUGAGCCUAAGUCGGAUUAGCUAGUUGGUGGGGUAAAGGCCUACCAAGGCGACGAUCUGUAGCGGGUCUGAGAGGAUGAUCCGCCACACUGGGACUGAGACACGGCCCAGACUCCUACGGGAGGCAGCAGUGGGGAAUAUUGGACAAUGGGGGGAACCCUGAUCCAGCCAUGCCGCGUGUGUGAAGAAGGCCUUAUGGUUGUAAAGCACUUUAAGCGAGGAGGAGGCUCUUUUGGUUAAUACCCAAGAUGAGUGGACGUUACUCGCAGAAUAAGCACCGGCUAACUCUGUGCCAGCCGCCGCGGUAA